rnacentral:rRNA from 1 species
AGAGUUUGAUCCUGGCUCAGAUUGAACGCUGGCGGCAGGCCUAACACAUGCAAGUCGAACGGUAACAGAAAGCAGCUUGCUGCUUUGCUGACGAGUGGCGGACGGGUGAGUAAUGUCUGGGAAACUGCCUGAUGGAGGGGGAUAACUACUGGAAACGGUAGCUAAUACCGCAUAACGUCGCAAGACCAAAGAGGGGGACCUUCGGGCCUCUUGCCAUCGGAUGUGCCCAGAUGGGAUUAGCUAGUAGGUGGGGUAAAGGCUCACCUAGGCGACGAUCCCUAGCUGGUCUGAGAGGAUGACCAGCCACACUGGAACUGAGACACGGUCCAGACUCCUACGGGAGGCAGCAGUGGGGAAUAUUGCACAAUGGGCGCAAGCCUGAUGCAGCCAUGCCGCGUGUAUGAAGAAGGCCUUCGGGUUGUAAAGUACUUUCAGCGGGGAGGAAGGGAGUAAAGUUAAUACCUUUGCUCAUUGACGUUACCCGCAGAAGAAGCACCGGCUGACUCCGUGCCAGCAGCCGCGGUAAUACGGAGGGUGCAAGCGUUGAUCGGAAUUACUGGGCGUAAAGCGCACGCAGGCGGUUUGUUAAGUCAGAUGUGAAAUCCCCGGGCUCAACCUGGGAACUGCAUCUGAUACUGGCAAGCUUGAGUCUCGUAGAGGGGGGUAGAAUUCCAGGUGUAGCGGUGAAAUGCGUAGAGAUCUGGAGGAAUACCGGUGGCGAAGGCGGCCCCCUGGACGAAGACUGACGCUCAGGUGCGAAAGCGUGGGGAGCAAACAGGAUUAGAUACCCUGGUAGUCCA